CAGCAGCCCGCAGCCUGCCCUCCCCCACCCGGGGCCCCCCCGAAACUCCACCCCGGGGAGCUGGAAAAUCUCGGCCAGGACCCCCACCAGGCCUGGCUGACCCUGAGGGGGCCCAGCUAGACUCGUUCGGCCCACUGCCCUCCCCCAGCUCCACUUGACAGCUCCAGAAACUGAAGCUUGAGGAGGUCAAGUCCCGUUGCCCAGGGCACAGAGCCAGGGAUGGUCUGGGACCCUAGACCCCAGACCUCAGCAUAGUUCCCUCCAUGGGAACAACCACUCCUGUCGGGCCUGUGCAGGUGCCCAGGACCCAGGAUGGGCCAGGCAAGGCCAGGCCUCCUGGUGGGAGGGCUGAGGCUGACCUGAGGGCGACGUUCCAGCCGGGAACACCAAUGCUCACAUGUCCAGAUGCUCCUGUGACCCACUCAGACCUACGCCGCAUCCCUAAGAAACAGGCCAGUGGCCAAAACCCCCAGCGACGGAUUGCAGCCCUGAUUGCCUAAGAACACCAGGGAGGGCCCAAUUCUUCAGGCUAAAGGCGCCCCCCCGCCCUGCAAUUGCAUCUCUGCCCCUCAGCCCCCAGGUCCUUCUCCCCUGCCCCCAGCUGUGCCUCUCCAGAGGGGAGAGGGAGACCCACCCUCACAGUCUGCGGCUUCAAGGCCAAGGGCAGGCUACAGAAACUUUCUUCGAGCAAACGAUGCGCAGCGCCCAAUAUAUGAAACCCUCACAGCUGAGCUGCUCUCCACCCCAGCGUGCCUAGUCUGUGCAGAACCAAGCAGAAAACCACCCAUCCGUCUAGAACUUCACUGGGCAACAGAGGCUGCAUCUCCACCUGUGGUCCCCGGCACUCCCCAGGGCCGGGCGCUAACUGCCUGCAAGAACGCUGGCCCAGCCGGCUCAGAGACGUGCCAGAGGGGAGGCAGGCCACAGACACGGGGACCCAGAGCCUGCACAGCAGCCAGCUUUGCCACCACCCCAGCCUCUGUGCAGUGCAGUUUCCUGAGCUGGCCAGGCCAUACUGCCCACAGGAAGGCCAUGGCUGGACUGGCCUGCAGACACAGGGAGAACAGAAGGAGCAGGUGCCCGUGUGCCGUGCACCCAGCUGCGGGAUCCACCUCCGACCUCAGCCAGCCCCAGGGCACGAUGGUUAUGGUCUGUAGUCACUGCUAACACUGAAUUAGUGAGUAUAGAGCCAUCCAUCACUCCUGGGGAAACAGGGUCAGGUCCUGCCAGCCUCUGGGCACGACACUUCCAUCAGCCCAUCAAGACUGCCUCAUUCAGUGCUUCUGUUCAGACACCUUAGUCAGUACAGAUGCAUCCACAUCCAAUUCACAGCCAGCAGCCUCCAACUCACGCUGAGGGAGGCUCGCCCGACACAGGUGUUUUCCCAUGAGGCCCAGCCUGGACUUCCUGGGCUCGAGAACGCUGGCCGGCAUUGCAGCACCAGGCCUGGGGCCAUUUUAAACAGCGAAAUCUCCAACAGAAAGCACCAAAGUGCAGAAAAUAUGGUACUAAAUAGACCAGGAGGACACGUUUAUAGUGUGAGAUGAAACAAGAAGGCAGAGUGUCCCCUCGUUCCCCUCAGCUGGGGACUCAAAGUUUGUGCUGCUCUGCUCGUGUUGGCAAAUCACUGUACAAGCAAGGAGUGACUUCAGGGUUACAAACACAUUUUCAAGAGAAGGCUAGUUUCCAAAUAAAGAAUCUGCACAUGAUGAG
rnacentral:lncRNA from 1 species